ACCGGUGGUUCCAUUUGUUACUUGCCGGCUCCCCCGCAAGGUAAAUUUCUCCUCCUUCAAACCCACCGUGCACCAUAUGUUGCAAGACAGGCAAGAGUGACACUCUUGUUUUGUAUUGAGCGUGAGUGCCGACCAUAUCUCAACACCAACAUGUAUCACCCAAGGAACUCACUUCCAGUGGUUUGAGCGCAAGCAAAACAUUAAAGCUUGCCUUACGUCUAUCAUUGGCCCACAGAUGUCGCAUAUCAGAAGGGUUGCCAACCUGGUAGAACACUCGGGUUUCGUAAUAUUUCGUGUUCGUUCGUAUCAUUUUCACAAUUACAUUUCUCAGCUUUCGGCUCGAACUAAUUAGUCUGUCCGCAAACCGCACUGGGAGUAGUAGUGCGCGCCGGGAGUUUAGAGCUAGUACAAAUUUUGUUCUUUUGUAUAGCCAAAUCCACGUGUGUAAAAAUUCACCAGAAAGUUAGUGUGUUAAACUACGGAGGAAAAGGUCCGAUACGUGGGCCUUUUUCUCUUCUUCCACAUCGCUUGGCGGAGCAAGCGGUGAUCAUUUCAUCCACAGAUCAGCAUUGGCCGCCCCUACCUCCCGCGCACGGAUAAACGAAGUUGUGAAUCUCCCACGAUUGUUACGGACGGACAGAUCGACGAAAGGCCCAGUCGUCACGAGCACCGACCGCCCGCCGGCCCACAAAACCGGCCAUUUUGGGAACGCCGUAUUCAUCACCUUCGGCGUCGGUCAUUGUGCACGGCCGCCAUCGUUGGCCAUUGUUCGCUGGCCACUAUCUGCGCCUGUGAAUGCGUGGAUCCGCCAUUGCUCCUUGCCAUCACGCCAUCUCGAUCAUCGGACAUCCUUCUUCGAGUCAAACGCCGGUCAGAGACCCACUGGUGCGAAAGGAAGCGACGCCUAAACGUUACGACAUUCCCGGAGACCCUCCGGUAUUGAAGAGUGCCCAGCAUCCUCUCCAAGCGCUGGGGGCAUCGCGCAGCCCGGUUCACGGCGGGACAGCCGUCAAAUACCCUGCGGAACCGCAUCGUUCGCUCCAUCGCUACACCGGUGACGUCUGGCCAGCCCGCUAGACCCUGAAGCACCGCCCGGUACUACCACCGGUUCCCCGAAGCACCUCCCGGUACCACCGCCGGCCCCGAUGUUCGGCUCACCACCGUGCCGUCAACCACCACCGUUCAAAUGCAGCAAACCGCAAGUACCCUACCCCACAAGUGUUGUGACGUCACAUUAAGCCAAUUCAUUAAGCCAAUUUUGGCCAUAAUAAACUAGAAUGUUAAGAUGAAAA